rnacentral:sRNA from 1 species
UUUUUUUUCUGUUUUUAUGUUGUUUU